rnacentral:rRNA from 1 species
ACAGCUAGCUAUUUAGGUUAGAGUUUGAUCCUGGCUCAGGAUAAACGCUGGCGGCGUGCUUCAGGCAUGCAAGUCGAACGAGUGGCCACCUUCGGGUGGUCUACUAGUGGCGGACGGGUGAGUAACGCGUUAGCAACCUGCCCAAAAGUGGGGAAUAACUAACCGAAAGGUUAGCUAAUACCGCAUGUGAUAGCUGGUUCUUGGACUGGUUAUGAAAGGCUUCGGUCGCUUUUGGAGGGGCUUGCGUCAGAUUAGCUAGUUGGUGGGGUAAUGGCCUACCAAGGCGACGAUCUGUAGCUGGUCUGAGAGGACGAUCAGCCACACGGGGACUGAGACACGGCCCAGACUCCUACGGGAGGCAGCAGUGGGGAAUCUUGCGCAAUGCGCGAAAGCGUGACGCAGCAACGCCGCGUGGGGGAAGAAGGCCUUCGGGUUGUAAACCUCUUUCAGGAGGGACGAAGCUCCUCGGGUUAAUAGCCCAGAGGGUGACGGUACCUCCAGAAGAAGCCCCGGCUAACUACGUGCCAGCAGCCGCGGUGUC